UACGGGGGGGCAAGCGUUGUUCGGAAUUACUGGGCGUAAAGGGCUCGUAGGCGGCCAACUAAGUCGGACGUGAAAUCCCUCGGCUUAACCGGGGAACUGCGUCCGAUACUGGAUGGCUUGAGUUCGGGAGAGGGAUGCGGAAUUCCAGGUGUAGCGGUGAAAUGCGUAGAUAUCUGGAGGAACACCGGUGGCGAAGGCGGCAUCCUGGACCGACACUGACGCUGAGGAGCGAAAGCCAGGGAGCAAACGGG
rnacentral:rRNA from 1 species